AUUGGACUCUGGCGGCAGGCCUAACACAUGCAAGUCGAGCGGAUGAGUGGAGCUUGCUCCAUGAUUCAGCGGCGGACGGGUGAGUAAUGCCUAGGAAUCUGCCUGGUAGUGGGGGACAACGUUUCGAAAGGAACGCUAAUACCGCAUACGUCCUACGGGAGAAAGCAGGGGACCUUCGGGCCUUGCGCUAUCAGAUGAGCCUAGGUCGGAUUAGCUAGUAGGUGGGGUAAUGGCCCACCUAGGCGACGAUCCGUAACUGGUCUGAGAGGAUGAUCAGUCACACUGGAACUGAGACACGGUCCAGACUCCUACGGGAGGCAGCAGUGGGGAAUAUUGGACAAUGGGCGAAAGCCUGAUCCAGCCAUGCCGCGUGUGUGAAGAAGGUCUUCGGAUUGUAAAGCACUUUAAGUUGGGAGGAAGGGCAGUAAGUUAAUACCUUGCUGUUUUGACGUUACCAACAGAAUAAGCACCGGCUAACUUCGUGCCAGCCGCCGCCGUAACAC
rnacentral:rRNA from 1 species